rnacentral:rRNA from 1 species
AGAGUUUGAUCCUGGCUCAGGAUGAACGCUAGCUACAGGCUUAACACAUGCAAGUCGAGGGGCAGCAUGGUCUAGCAAUAGACCGAUGGCGACCGGCGCACGGGUGAGUAACACGUAUCCAACCUGCCCAUUACUCGGGGAUAGCCUUUCGAAAGAAAGAUUAAUACCCGAUGGCAUAACGGAAAGACAUCUUUCUGUUAUUAAAGAACUUCGGUAAUGGAUGGGGAUGCGUUCCAUUAGAUAGUUGGCGGGGUAACGGCCCACCAAGUCAGCGAUGGAUAGGGGUUCUGAGAGGAAGGUCCCCCACAUUGGAACUGAGACACGGUCCAAACUCCUACGGGAGGCAGCAGUGAGGAAUAUUGGUCAAUGGACGCGAGUCUGAACCAGCCAAGCAGCGUGAAGGAUGACUGCCCUAUGGGUUGUAAACUUCUUUUAUAUGGGAAUAAAGUGGUCCACGUGUGGACUUUUGUAUGUACCAUAUGAAUAAGGAUCGGCUAACUCCGUGCCAGCAGCCGCGGUAAUACGGAGGAUCCGAGCGUUAUCCGGAUUUAUUGGGUUUAAAGGGAGCGUAGGCGGAUUGUUAAGUCAGUUGUGAAAGUUUGCGGCUCAACCGUAAAAUUGCAGUUGAUACCGGCAGUCUUGAGUGCAGUAGAGGUGGGCGGAAUUCGUGGUGUAGCGGUGAAAUGCUUAGAUAUCACGAAGAACUCCGAUUGCGAAGGCAGCUCACUGGAGUGUAACUGACGCUGAUGCUCGAAAGUGUGGGUAUCAAACAGGAUUAGAUACCCUGGUAGUCCACGCAGUAAACGAUGAUAACUCGUUGUCGGCGAUACACAGUCGGUGACUAAGCGAAAGCGAUAAGUUAUCCACCUGGGGAGUACGUUCGCAAGAAUGAAACUCAAAGGAAUUGACGGGGGCCCGCACAAGCGGAGGAACAUGUGGUUUAAUUCGAUGAUACGCGAGGAACCUUACCCGGGCUUGAAAGUUAGCGACGAUUCUUGAAAGAGGAUUUCCCUUCGGGGCGCGAAACUAGGUGCUGCAUGGUUGUCGUCAGCUCGUGCCGUGAGGUGUCGGGUUAAGUCCCAUAACGAGCGCAACCCCUACCGUUAGUUGCCAUCAGGUCAAGCUGGGCACUCUGGCGGGACUGCCGGUGUAAGCCGAGAGGAAGGUGGGGAUGACGUCAAAUCAGCACGGCCCUUACGUCCGGGGCUACACACGUGUUACAAUGGUAGGUACAGAGGGCAGCUACCCAGCGAUGGGAUGCGAAUCUCGAAAGCCUAUCUCAGUUCGGAUUGGAGGCUGAAACCCGCCUCCAUGAAGUUGGAUUCGCUAGUAAUCGCGCAUCAGCCAUGGCGCGGUGAAUACGUUCCCGGGCCUUGCACACACCGCCCGUCAAG